rnacentral:rRNA from 1 species
UACAGAGGUCCCAAGCGUUGUUCGGAUUCAUUGGGCGUAAAGGGUGCGUAGGUGGUGAUGCAAGUCUGGUGUGAAAUCUCGGAGCUCAACUCCGAAAUUGCACCGGAUACUGCGUGACUCGAGGACUGUAGAGGAGAUCGGAAUUCACGGUGUAGCAGUGAAAUGCGUAGAUAUCGUGAGGAAGACCAGUUGCGAAGGCGGAUCUCUGGACAGUUCCUGACGCUGAGGCACGAAGGCCAGGGGAGCAAACGGG